rnacentral:lncRNA from 1 species
UGCUCCGGAUAACCUCCUGUCAAGCACCCACCCUUAUAACGUUCUAAAUCUGUUAGUGCACGAUGGCGAUCAACCCAUCGAGCCACUAACCUUGUGUACACAAUCCUCAUUUAGCGUGUUAGGCCAAAUGAGAAUCUCGAUCGAUGCUUAAGUGAGCCUUAAACAAUUACAGAACGCACAUAAAAACAUUUAUAUUGGAUAAACAGAUAACUUUCAUGAAAUAUCAGAGCUUAUAUAACUCAAGAUACAUUGUAUGUAAAAUAAAACCCACCUGAAUAGGCAAAGCCUGUAGUUUAAUCGUAAACCUGUCACGGGAAAGCAGUGCUAAUCCUCCUGGUCCUCAAGGCCUACAAGAAAUCUAUUCUUAAUAGGUCUCUUGGUGCUAUUCUAACUUCUAAAUAAAGAGGGGAAAAUCACUAACUAUUGAUACACUUUGC